rnacentral:rRNA from 1 species
UGACAACCCAAGAGUAGUUGGGCCGUUCCCCGUUCGGGGGGACAGGGUGACAGGUGGUGCAUGGUUGUCGUCAGCUCGUGUCGUGAGAUGUUGGGUUUAAGUCCCGCAACGAGCGCAACCCUCGCCUCUAGUUGCCAACAUUCGGUUGGGCACUCUAGAGGGACUGCCGGCGACAAGUCGGAGGAAGUGGGGAUGACGUCAAAUCAUCAUGCCCCUUAUGACCUGGGCUACACACGUGCUACAAUGGGCGGUACAAAGGGCUGCGAACCCGCGAGGGGGAGCGAAUCCCAAAAAGCCGCUCUCAGUUCGGAUUGCAGGCUGCAACUCGCCUGCAUGAAGCCGGAAUCGCUAGUAAUCGCGGAUCAGCAUGCCGCGGUGAAUACGUUCCCGGGCCUU